AUUUAUCUUCAUAUACCAGAUUAGAGACUUGCAGUGAAAAAAGGGUUUCUUUGAAUUUUCAUUUCCAGUAGAAGCAAACAAAUAAUAUUUUAAAAUUAUCAGAGAAUCAAUGAGAUUUAAUAGUUUAAAAUUUUUAUGACAAUGUCUGAUAGGUAUAUGCAUAAUAACACAUAUAUGGUAAAAAAGAUUUGUUAGCAGAUUUGUCUAAAAGCUAGAAUGUUGAGAUUGAGCUUACAGAUUUUUAGGACGCCUACGCUGUUCACGAUUGUUUCAGACUAGCCCACAAACCUCCUGAAACUGUCCCACGCCUUCGAAAAUUUUAUUUAUCUUUAAUUUUAUUAUCUGUACGCAAAUUUAGUUCGAUGUGCCAAAUGUCACGCCCAUACUUUUAAAAAAUGGUUUGUUGUGUAUAUGUUUUUUAUUUUAUGACACUAAGCAUCGCAUUCUCCGAUUAAACGUCAAAAAAAGUGGUACAAGCUUAUCAAAAAGGGGUACAUGGAGUAUUUGUAUUUGUGCUACAGGCCAUCAUCGCUUCUAUUUAAGGGGGAAAUACCUUUAUAUUUUAUUUAUUUAGAGUGAUUCCUAAGGUACUGAUGAAUCGACUUAGUAGUUUUUUUUGUGAACUAUUGUGAAAACGUGGUUUCAAGAAAAUGUUAUAUAAAGUUUUCUGUCAUGAAAAGAUUGGCUCGGUGACAGUAACUUCCGGAAGCAUCUCUUCCACAAUUUCGACAAUUAGCUUUUGACACGAUAUUCUGAGGCAAUCGAUUUAAACAAUAAAAAAUAAUGAUAUUUUUUAUGUGUCUGAAGGUAGUUCCUGCUGAUGUUUUUUACUUUAAUAUCAUAGUUUUUAACAUUCGCAAUUAUUAAAUUCCUGUAAGUUCGAUGUUAUAGUCUCUAUAAGUAAAGAAAGUUGUUUGUUAGUCAACACUUAUGUCAUAUGUAACAAAAAUUAAGACAAAUCUGGAAAAAGCUUGUUCAUAAAAUAAAUACUAGCGUUAACAAAAAAGGGUCUAUAAGUGAAUAAUAGUAUUUCAUUCACAGCGUAGAACUAUAGGGAUUCAAGGCUGUUUAGGAUCUCUUUGAUGAGGUUGCUAUCAAGAUCUCCAAUAUAAUAGCAUAUGAAAGCGAUAUAAUAUAAGAUAUUUUAUAUUUAUACAUUAAAACUACAAAAUAAAAUUUCAUUUCAAUUAUAAUCGAGCUGGAUACAGUGUUUAAAGCAACUUAGCCUUUUGCCGUCCAGAUAUGGCCUUUUUCAACUGUCAAAUGCAGGAAAAAUUGUUAGCUAGCUGCUGGCGGAAAAUCUAGCAACUGGCCUCUUAUAGCAUAAUUUAUAAUUCUGGCAGCACUCCCUUAACGUUAAACGUGGCAUCGCAUUAAUCGAUAGUUGCUGCAAUACAUCGUGCAUAAAACCGAUGCAGCAUUGCCACGUUUUUGUAUAUUUUCCAUCACUAACAAGAAUUUCACUAUAUAUGCGAAGGCUAAGGACGCAGCAAAAAAUUCUACUAAAAUGCCAGGAGUACAGUAUAAACAAAAACGUCGAGACACUUGGCUUUGUGAUCCGUUCUUCAAGGAUUGGAUGUCAAUUGAUCCCAAUAACGAUAAUAAGUGUUAUUGCAGAUAUUGCAAAUCCAGUAUAGUUUCAAAGCUGUACGAUUUGCAGGGACAUGCAAAAACCAAGAAGCAUAAGGCGGCAACGAGUUGCUUUACUCAAAAAAAUAAAAUUGUGUUUACAUCAAAUGUGCUUCCUAAAACGAAGCAAAGAAGCAGCCUUAUGUUUGUAUAUUGCAUCCCAUUCUGCUAUUUUACCCAUCGAUCACUUCGAUAUAUUGUGCGCCACAAAAUUUGAUGGCGACAAAGUCAAGGUGAAAAUAGAGAUUCGAUUUAGGUGCACGGAGUUUAUCAUUUCACUUAUAUAUGAGCUUAAACAGAGAUUACCCGAAAACUUCAAAGUUCUUCAGCAAAUCGACAUUUUUUCUGUUUAGAUCAUUUAAAUGUUAGAAAGAGCUUUGUUAUUAAUAUUCUAGAGCAUUUCAAACUGCCUGUCUCUGAGAUUGAACAGGUCGUUCUACAAUAUAACAACAUACAUCUGUUAAAAUGGGAAAAUACGGCUUCCACUGUAAAAUUUUGGGCAGAGGCAAACAAUUAUGUGGAUUCGGGAGGCAAUCACCGAUUUAAAGCGUUAGCAUCUUUCGUUUUUAACGUUAGUCAGAUGUACAUUGUAAAAUCGAAGCCUUUCUGGCUCAAUAAACAUUGACACACUUAAUAUUUUUUAACACAA